rnacentral:rRNA from 1 species
GAUGAACGCUGGCGGCGUGCCUAAUACAUGCAAGUCGAACGAGGUGCUUUUGUAGCAAUCCGAGAGUAUCCUAGUGGCGAACGGGUGAGUAACGCGUUGGUGACCUACCCCAAAGUGUGGAAUAACAGUCCGAAAGGAUUGCUAAUACCGCAUGUGGUUAUCGGGUUUAGAAACUGAUAACUAAAGGAGCAAUUCGCUUUGGGAGGGACCUGCGUCCCAUCAGCUAGUUGGUGAGGUAAUGGCUCACCAAGGCUACGACGGGUAGGGGACCUGAGGGGGUGACCCCCCACAAUGGAACUGAAACACGGUCCAUACACCUACGGGUGGCAGCAGUAGGGAAUAUUGCACAAUGGGCGAAAGCCUGAUGCAGCAACGCCGCGUGCACGAUGAAGGCCUUCGGGUCGUAAAGUGCUUUUCUGGGAGAUGAGAAAGGACAGUAUCCCAGGAAUAAGUCUCGGCUAACUACGUG